CAGAGCCCUACCUUCUUUGGAUUAUUGGAGUGGUGAUACCUAUUCUCGUGAUCAUUGCUGCUGUAUUAGGUUUCUUGUAUUACAGGCGUCGUAAACAAAAUAAGAAAAAGAAUUCCGAAUUUGGCGUACCGUUACCUGAACUUCCCCCCAGAGAGGACGAUUAUCAUAUUUACGAAAAGGUAGAAGCACAAAUAGACGUCCAACCUCAUCCAAUCACAGCAAGCGAUUUUGAAAAUGACUAUCAAGAAUGCAGAUGACAAUAGACUUUUCCGAGAAGAAUACAAGCUGAAAAUGCGGUUGUCAGUCUUCAACAAACUGGAAACAAACUGUUACGUACUUAAACAAAUUUAUGCACAAGGGGAUGGUUUCGUUGGAUUGCGACUACGCAUAAUGACGUUGGUGUAGGACUGUACAUACAAUCUUGCUUAAUCGAAAUUAUGAAAAUCAACACUAAAAUGGUCAUUCUGAUGUAGGCCAACCUGCUACUUCUGCAAUUCUUCUACACCAGAGUAGAUUGUUGGGUUUUCUCAAACGAUAUCAUAUGCGAUCGACUACUCCGGGCAUAUGCGAUCCAAGGAUGGAAACAAAAUCUUACUUAACAGAUUUUCAUUCAACAGAAGAAAUAUUUACUUUUCAGAAAAAAUUUGUACCAUGAAGUUGCUAGAGACGUCUAGAUUUCUACUACUAUCAAGAUUACGUUUUUUGUAUAAUCUGAAUAGUUCAUUGCUGUAAACCUUUUAGAACUGACAAUUGAUGUUUUCAUUCUUGUGUAGACGUUAUAUAUAUAGUCGAUUUUAUGGCGAUCACUCGAUAGUUUGUUUUAUAUAUUUUUAAGCACGAAAUGCCAGCAUAGGUUUGUUUACACAUUAUCAUCUAGAAACAAUUUGUUCGGUUGUUUAUUUACAUGCCGUCUCACACAUCGCACACUCACUUGUUCCACGUGUCCGACUUGUAACACGUGUCCCACUUGUGUCAUUGUCCCGCGUGCCCUACUUGUGCCACUUUUACCACGUGCCCCGCUUGUACCACGUGUCCCACUUGUCUCACUCGUUCCACGUGUCCCACUUGUACCACGUGUCACUCUUGUCCAACGUGUCCCACUUGUACCACGUGUCCCACUUGUACCACGUGUCCUACUUGUCCUACUACUCGUAACAUCGAUCCUCUCUAUUGCAAUGCUGCCACUCAGAUUAUUUUAAAGAUAUAACCGUUAUAAUCUCACAAAGUAAAAUAUAUUUUAGUACAAUAAAACUUAAUUGGAUUAAUUACUCUAUCAUCACAAUCCGCGUCGCAUCAAGUAGUAUUUUUACCUACAUUAUAUUCAGCAUACCUUGGCGAAUAUCAUUCCAAUUAUCGUUA